rnacentral:rRNA from 1 species
CCUACGGGAGGCAGCAGUAGGGAAUCUUCCACAAUGGACGAAAGUCUGAUGGAGCAACGCCGCGUGAGUGAAGAAGGGUUUCGGCUCGUAAAGCUCUGUUGGUAGGGAAGAAAGAUAGAGGAAGUAACUGGCCUCGAGUUGACGGUAAUUACGGAGAAAGUCACGGCUAACUACGUGCCAGCAGCCGCGGUAAUACGUAGGUGGCAAGCGUUGACCGGAUUUAUGGGGCGUAAAGCGAGUGAAGGCGGUUCCAUAAGUCUGCGGUGAAAGCCUUCGGCUCAACCGUAGAAUUGCAUCUGAAACUGUUGAACUUGAGUGCAGAAGAGGAGAGUGGAACUCCAUGUGUAGCGGUGCAAUGCGUAGAUAUAUGGAAGCACACCAGUGGCGAAGGCGGCUCUCUGGUCUGCAACUGACGCUGAGGCUCGAAAGCCUGGGUAGCGAACAGGAUUAGAUACCCCUGUAGUC